rnacentral:lncRNA from 1 species
GUCGGGGGGCGGGGCCGUAGGACGUCCGCGGCGCCCUAACACGUCACUAAGCUCGCGACCCUGGAUUGUACAGCGCGGCUUCCGUGGACCGUUCCUCCGCGUGAUGAGGGGACAUGGCGGCUCCCUUUCCAGUGACCUCAAAAGUCGGCAGGCAGCAGCAAGGUGGCCUGGAUGGGACUGUGGGAAAUAGACUUCCAGGCUGUGGACACUCAGCGGCUCAGAUACGUCUUCCCCUAGAAUGGCAACAUGGAUCGGAAGGGCCAGCAGGCUACCUUAGAAGUUACUCAAGGAUCUCCUCGGAAAGCACACCUCUUUAAUCCAACUGUGAAGCAACAGGGGGACAGGACGCCAGGCUUUUCCUUCCUCUCACAACGUUCUGCUUGAUCAACUCGACACCUUACGUGGAGGCGGCGUGGCUCAACACCUGCACCUGUGAGGACUUUGUAGCGCGUGAACCCUGC